GAUUAGCAUGCAUACGUUGAUGUGAACGGGACGACAACGGUGGCAAGCCAUGUCUCUUCUUCUUGCAGCAAGUCAACGACUUUGUUGUUACUGUCACAGCGUUAAAACAACUUUCAGAAGUGCUUCUCUGGAAAGUGCACUUUCUACAUUCAGGUCAAUAUGCGGAGAAGAUGGAGUGUCACUAGGAACUGCUGUCAGAGAGCAACAUGGCAAAGAUGAAUCUGUGCACAGAUGCCGUCCCCCAGAUGUAGUCGUUUUUCCUCGUUGUGUGGAGGAGGUGAGCGCCGUGGCGAAAGUCUGCCAUGACAAACACCUUCCCAUAAUCCCCUUUGGUACUGGAACUGGCCUGGAGGGAGGUGUAGGAGCAGUCAAGGGUGGCGUAUGCUUCAGCUUAAGGAAUAUGAACCAGAUUUUGGAUCUCCACCAGGAAGAUUUUGACGUAGCAGUUGAGCCUGGUGUGACCAGGAAAGCCCUAAAUGCCUACCUGCGAGACACUGGACUGUGGUUUCCUGUUGAUCCUGGAGCUGAUGCCUCGCUGUGUGGGAUGGCAGCCUCUAGUGCAUCUGGUACCAAUGCAGUUCGAUAUGGAACUAUGCGAGAAAAUGUCAUUAACCUGGAGGUGGUACUUGCCAAUGGUAGUAUUAUUCAUACAGCUGGCAAGGGCCGGCGUCCCAGGAAGACUUCAGCGGGCUAUAACUUGACAAAUCUGUUUGUCGGAUCAGAGGGCACUCUGGGAAUUAUCACUAAGGCAACUUUGCGCCUUUAUGGUAUUCCAGAAGCCAUGGUGUCAGCAGUCUGCUCGUUUCCUUCUGUAAAGGCUGCUGUGGAUAGCACUGUGCAGAUUCUUCAAGCUGGGGUUGCCAUCGCACGCAUUGAGUUUCUCGAUGAUGUGAUGAUCAAUGCAUGCAACAAGUUCAGCUCUCUGUCAUAUCCUGUUACCCCAACUCUGUUCCUGGAGUUCCACGGUUCCGAACAGAGUCUUGCAGAACAAGUCAGCACAACUGAGGAAAUCACACAGAAUAAUAGUGGCUCUCAUUUUCAAUGGGCUAGAGAUGCAGAAAAACGAAACCGGUUGUGGAAAGCUCGUCAUGAUGCCUGGUAUGCUGCUCAGGCUCUGAGGCCUGGUUGCAAGGCCUACUCUACAGAUGUCUGCGUUCCAAUUUCCCAUUUGCCUCAAAUCAUUGUGGAGACGAAGGCGGAUCUGAUUGAGAAUAACCUUACAGGUGAGCACAGAGAAGAGAACAUGUAAAGCUAUAUAAAUGGCUUGAGAAGGACCAGUCAGCCCGUCGAGGGGGAACUAUUCACAACGAGGAAAAUGCGACGAAGAGAGCUGCAAAAUGUCAUUGUUUCUGUCUCUUUACUUCAAUAUUUUUACAGGAUAUUCUUUUUAUCCAAGUAUUUUCCCCAAUUGCUAAAUAAAUGGCAUGGUCAUGACAAAUAACAGUCUUGUGCUAAAUGGAAUAUGAAAUAAUAAAAAUGCAUUUAUUCAGGACGACAUGGCAAAAUUACUCCAAAAUGGUCAAAACUUUCGACUUCACCUUUACUGUCGCACCUCCCGAACGAUAUUUUAUGACACCUAAAUCGGACAUAUGCCAUUUCCCUUCCCCGGCUUCAGAGAAUGUAAACAAACCAAAAGGCGUGACAGCUAGCCGACAUGCUAACCCGAACCGAGUGAUGUUUCAAAGUCUUCGAAGCGGAAAAUCACACAUAACUAGCCUGGAUUUAUUGACAUGACGACUGGGUUGUUGAUUGUCUUCGCGGAACGGCAAACCGCCCAGCGGAGAGCAAUUUACAGUUCGUUCCCCGGAGGAGGGUGGCUGCAAUUGUUGUGCAGCUAACGUGCUGCAAAUGUGCAUGAGGAGAGCUUUUUACGUGCCUAUCAAUGAUCAAACGUAAGUAGUCCUUUAUUUAAAGAAAGUUUGUUGUGUUUACUUUUAAUCGAUGUAUUCAUAUUUGACACAAUAGAAAACAAGAUGUUUACUCACUUCCUCGUAAGUCCAAUGGUCCCACAGUAAAUAUCCACGGUGAAUGGGAACCUUUUAAAACUUCAAAAAGGCGCAUACGCUUCUCUGUCAUACAGAAUGAUUUUUCUGCAGCCGUCUGGCUGUCGUCAGCCACGCGGUGCCAUCAGGUACACCACGCAAAAUACAUUAGUAGCCGAGCCGUUACAUUAUUGCAGAUAUUAUUAUUAUUAUUAUUACUACUAUUAUUAUUAUUCCCAGUUUUUAUUCAUAAUUUAUUAGUUUUGCUCUUUGUAAUUGCUAUUUGCAACAGUAAUAGCAGUAUUUAUUAAAGAUUUAGUGUAGGUUUUUGGGCAGUGGAAUGAAUGAAUGGAAUCAUAAUGUGUUCUUAUGGGAAAAUCCUGCUCGACAUACGACCAUUUCGACUUACAAAGAAAGUUCUGGAACGAAUUAACUUCGUAUGUAGAGGUACCACUACAUGUCAAACUCCCAUGUGGCACAAUUAGAACUGUUCAGACCAUAGGGACACUCAGAUUCCUAUUUUCUGGGUCUAAGCAGCUGAACAGGGAAAAAAAAAAAGAAGAGAUUUGGAUCUUAAAAUUAAUAGUAAGUUGUAUUAUACAAUUUCUUUUUCAUUUUCAUUUUUUCCAUAUAUUUACACAUUUUAUUAAAAACAAAAACAUAACUAUUGUUCUUUUUAUUUCAUUUAAACAAUUUUCUUUUUUAAUUUUUGUAAAUGUUUAUUUGUAUUUCUUGACAUUUUUUUAAUUAGAAAAACGUGGGAAACUAUAUGUUAUCCUUUUCAUUCAUUUAUUAUUAUUAUUAUUUUUUUAAUAAUAAGGGGGGUUAAAUAUUCUCUUUUUACUUUUUUAAAGUGUGGGGGUGUAGUUAUUUAUUUAUUUAUUUAAUAUUCAUUUAUCCAUGGCUUUAUGAGUGAUGAACAUGAAUUUGAUGCACGAUUUACUUUUGCGGGUCACACAGGAUAAUGUGGCAUGCCGAAUCAGGCCCUGGGGCCUGGAGUUUGACACCUAUAUUUUAGUCAAACGGUCUGAAAACUAUUCCACAAAGGGUCGCAGUGAGUGUAGGUUUUCAUUCUAACAGAUUCAGAGGACACCUUUUCUGUCAUCUAGCAUCUUACAAGUCAGGUGCUACUUGUUUCCGCAGAGACCUGAUUGCAUCUCAAACAAUGGACUGGCAGUUUUUUUUCGGUAAUUAAAAGAAGGGGGGGAAAAGAGUUUAACAUUUUGCAUGAUGUAAUGUUCACACAGGUCCCAUUGCGGGUCAUGUAGGUGAUGGUAACUUCCAUUGCCUGAUGGUAGUUGAUCCUAAUGACACCGAAGAACUGCAAAGAGUCCAUCUAUUCAGUGAGAGGCUGGCAAGGCGCGCCUUAGCCAUGAAUGGUACAUGCACAGGGGAGCACGGUG